AAAGGAGUCAAACAGACCAUACUGUUUAACAAAAAAAACUUGGAUAGCUAUGUUACUACUUUUAGUGAUGUUCAUGCUACCAUAUUCAGCAAAAUGUGAUUAUGAAAAUACAUGGAAUUUUUAUUAUGAACAACCUUGUUGUAGCACUUAUAGUCUCAGUGGAGGCUCACAUCAUUUACGACAUCAUAGAGAUCAUGUAAAAGAAUUCACAUGUGGAAAAAUGUUUUAUAGAACAUUUUAUAUGGAUGAAAAACGCGAUUCACUCUAUGUUGGCGCAAUGGAUCGAGUAUUUAAACUUGAUUUAAAAAAUAUAAGUAAAGCAGGUUGUGAGAGAAAUCAUAUUUUGCUGGAACCAACUGGAUCUGAUGUUGUAAAUUGUGUAUCAAAGGGAAAAAGUCAACUUUUUGACUGUAGGAAUCACAUACGAGUAGUACAACCGAUGGAAAAUGGAAAUAGAUUAUAUGUUUGCGGUACAAAUGCUCACAACCCCAAAGAUGUUGUUAUAUAUUCGAAUUUAACUCAUUUACCACGGUCUGAAUAUGUUCCUGGAAUCGGUCUCGGUAUAGCAAAAUGUCCAUACGAUCCGUUAGAUAAUUCAACAGCGAUCUACGUAGAGAAUGGAAAUCCUGGAGACUUGCCAGCAUUGUAUUCCGGUACCAAUGCAGAAUUUACUAAGGCUGACACUGUAAUAUUUAGAACAGAUUUAUAUAAUAUGACAUCAGGAAGAAAAGAAUACAACUUUAGAAGAACAUUAAAAUAUGAUUCAAAAUGGCUGGAUAAGCCAAAUUUCGUUGGAUCAUUUGAUAUAGGAGAAUAUGUUUAUUUCUUCUUUCGUGAAACAGCUGUUGAAUAUAUUAACUGUGGAAAGGCAGUAUAUUCUAGAGUAGCACGUGUUUGUAAAAAAGAUACAGGAGGAAAGAAUAUUCUCAGCCAGAAUUGGGCAACCUAUUUAAAAGCUCGUUUAAAUUGUAGCAUCAAUGGAGAAUUUCCGUUUUAUUUUAAUGAAAUCCAGGCAGUUUAUCAGUUACCGAAUGAUAAGACAAAAUUUUAUGCUACAUUUACCACUAGUACCAAUGGCUUAGUUGGAUCUGCUGUUUGUAGCUACAACAUAGAAGAUAUUAAAGAAGCUUUUGAAGGAAAAUUUAAGGAACAGGCAUCUAGUAACUCAGCGUGGCUGCCAGUUUUAAAAUCAAAACUACCCGAACCACGACCUGGAACCUGUGUAAACGACACACAAACACUGCCUGACACAGUACUUAAUUUUAUUCGAUCUCAUCCAUUAAUGGAUAAAGCAGUAGAUCAUGAGCAUGCAACUCCAGUAUUUUACAAACGAGAUCUAGUAUUUACAAAACUUGUAGUUGACAGAAUUCGUAUAGAGUUAUUAAAUCAAGAGUAUAUGGUGUUUUACAUUGGUACAAAUGAAGGGAGAAUUUAUAAAAUUGUCCAAUUUUUAAAAAAUGGAGAAUCUAAAUCAAAAUUAUUAGACAUUUUUGAAAUUGCACAGAAUGAAGCAAUUCAAGUUAUGGAACUAAGCCAAACUCGUAAAUCAUUGUAUGUGGGAACAGACCAUCGCAUCAAACAAAUCGAUCUAAGCAUGUGUAAUCGACGUUAUGAUAAUUGCUUCAGAUGUGUCAAAGAUCCAUACUGUGGUUGGGAUAAGGAAACAAAUGUUUGCAAGCCCUAUGAGUUGGGAUUAUUACAGGAUGUUGGUAAUGAGACCUACGACAUUUGUGAUACUAGUGUAUUAAAAAAGAAAAUUGUCGUCACAUACGGACAAAGUGUCCACCUCGGAUGUUAUGUCAAAGUUCCGGAAGUUCUUAAGGAUCAACAAGUAACAUGGUAUCAUCAUUCAAAAGAAAAAGGAAGGUAUGAAAUAAAGUACAGUCCCACCAAAUACAUUGAAACCACCGAACGUGGACUAGUGAUCAUUUCUGUAAAUGAGGCAGAUGGAGGAAGAUAUGAUUGUCAUCUAGGUGGAUCAUUGCUCUGUAGUUAUAAUAUAACAGUAGAUGCUCAUAGGUGUACUCCUCCAAAUAAAAGCAAUGAUUAUCAGAAAAUUUAUUCAGAUUGGUGUCAUGAGUUUGAAAAGUAUAAGUCAGCAAUGAAAACAUGGGAGAAAAAACAAGCACAAUGUUCUUCCAGCAGACAAAACCUAAGUACUGUCCAACAUCCAAAUGAUGUAUUUAAUAAAAACAUGGUAUGAUCAUCACUAGAAUAAUUUUAUCCUAACAACAGGAGAAAAUUGAAUAGACAAUGAUAAUUUUUGACUUAAAAUUUUUUUACGCAAAUUUCUACUAAUAAUUUCAAGUUAACUUAAUGUAAUUCAGUUAAUUGAUAAAUAAUAACACUGUUCCACAAACCCGGAAAUUGCGUCUAUCAUCAACCGGACCAAUUUCAUUUGAAAUUAGGUGUAAUAAUUUUAAAGAGUAUUAAAUAUUUAUUAGCAUUUUUUUACGCAAAAAAAUCAGAACUGAUCAAUGUAAUUAAGGAAAAACACUGUAACAUUGUAAAAUAUUUAAAAUUAUGUCAAAUAAUAAAUAUGAAUUUUCAAUAAAUAA